CCAGCUCCAAUAGCGUAUAUUAAAGUUGUUGCAGUUAAAAAGCUCGUAGUUGAAUUUUGGGCCUGACUGAGUGGACUUGCCUCGUGUAAGAACUGCUCUGGUCGGGUCUUUCCUUCUGGGGAACCAGCUGCCCUUAACUGGGUGUGUUGGGGAUCCAGGACUUUUACUUUGAAAAAAUUAGAGUGUUCAAAGCAGGCUUACGCUUGAAUACAUUAGCAUGGAAUAAUAAAAUAGGACUUUGUGCCUGUUUUGUUGGCUUUCGGGUAUGAAGUAAUGAUUAAUAGGGAUAGUUGGGGGCGUUAGUAUUUAAUUGUCAGAGGUGAAAUUCUUAGAUUUAUUAAAGACUAACUUCUGCGAAAGCAUUCGCCAAGGAUGUUUUCA
rnacentral:rRNA from 1 species